AGGGAAUCUUCCACAAUGGACGCAAGUCUGAUGGAGCAACGCCGCGUGAGUGAAGAAGGCUUUCGGGUCGUAAAACUCUGUUAUUGAAGAAGAACGUGCGUGACAGUAACUGGUCAUGCAGUGACGGUAUUCAAUCAGAAAGUCACGGCUAACUACGUGCCAGCAGCCGCGGUAAUACGUAGGUGGCAAGCGUUGUCCGGAUUUAUUGGGCGUAAAGCGGGUGCAGGCGGUCUUUUAAG
rnacentral:rRNA from 1 species